rnacentral:rRNA from 1 species
UAAACGACUCUCGGCAACGGAUAUCUUGGCUCACGCAUCGAUGAAGAACGUAGCAAAAUGCGAUACUUGGUGUGAAUUGCAGAAUCCCGUGAACCAUCGAGUUUUUGAACGCAAGUUGCGCCCGAAGCCUUUUGGUUGAGGGCACGUCUGCCUGGGCGUCACAC